ACAGAAAUUACUGACAAUUCAGUGACAAACUGUCUCAGCACUGGAAAUAUUGUGCUCAUUAUUUCUGGUACUCCAUGGAUUCUGUUGGGCAGGCAGCCAUCUUUAAAUCGUCAUUCCUGGACAGCACUGGGAAGAUUCUGCUCGGUUUUCUCCGGUUCUGCAUGGAUUCUGUCUCGAAGGAAGCCGUCUUUCCAAUCGUCCCUCUGGGAUAGGUUCCAAGAGGAAAAUGUGAGAAAACUUGAAUCUUGAGGCAAGACAUUCUUUGAAAACUAUGUUAAUUCAUUGUGAAUAGUGGAAAUAUAUACAAUAACUAUUUAAAAGAUAUAUUUAGCCAGUUGAUUAAAGUCAUCUCUCCACCAUCGCACACAUCCUCUCCUGUCAUCUCAGUGACUCUCUACCAAGGUUAUUGU